rnacentral:rRNA from 1 species
CAGUAGCCACGGUAAUACGUAGGGUGCAAGCGUUAAUCGGAAUUACUGGGCGUAAAGCGUGCGCAGGCGGUUUGUUAAGACAGAUGUGAAAUCCCCGGGCUUAACCUGGGAACUGCAUUUGUGACUGGCAAGCUAGAGUCUGGCAGAGGGGGGUGGAAUUCCGCGUGUAGCAGUGAAAUGCGUAGAUAUGCGGAGGAACACCGAUGGCGAAGGCAAUCCCCUGGACCUGUACUGACGCUCAUGCACGAAAGCGUGGGGAGCAAACAGGAUUAGAUACCCCAGUAGUCCCUGUCUCUUAUAC